UCCAUCCAUACAUCCUUUCAUCCAUCCAUCUCUUUAUCCAUCCAUCCAUCCGUCAUCAGCAGUUAGCAGAAGGCUCGUGAUAGCUGGUUAGCAUCAGAUAGUUGACCGGAGUUUUCCACACAAUCGUUAUUUUAAGGGGCGGCUGUGGCUCAGUUGGUAGAGUGGGUCGUCUCUCAGCUGGAAGGUCGGGGGUUCGAUCCCCAGCACCUGCAGCCACAUGUACUUUUACAUUCAGUUGACAAGCCUGAAUAAAUGUUGUAUUUCAUUUUUCAUUUUUUUUAAACCAGUAGGAAUGUUAAGUUAAAUCCUUGAUGUAUAAAUCUCUUCUUAUUCUAAUUUUUUAUAUUUUAAGUGCUUAUUUAUGUAUCUAUUCUUAUAUUGUUUUAUUUGCUGUAACACCACAAUUUCCUAUCAUAAAGUAAUUCUAUUCUAUUCUACUCUAUGUACGACGUGUCCUUUGGUAAGACACUUAACCUCAGUGUGUGAAUGUGUAGGUCUGACCUGCGGUGAAAAAGCACUUUUGAGUAGUCAGAAGAGUAGAAAAGUUUAGAAACGACUUUCUCUCUCACAAACAUAACAGGAGACUGACCCCUUGUGGCGCUUUUUGGUACUGCAAUGACAUUCUGGCUGUUACAAACUUCUCCAAAUACAUUUUAAUGAUGAUUAUUUAAUUGGUCUCAAAUAAUUUAUCCUUGUUUUUUACUCGCAUUGUUUUUUUUUUCAAAAUAUUCAAACUUGGACGCAGAGUCAGUCUGCUAACACACUCCUGAGAACACGGGACGUCUGGUCAAUAAAACCCGUUAACGAGGAUUUAUCUGAGGUAACUGAACGGCCGAGUCUGAAGGUGAAGUGUUGUCUGUUGGUUUGUUUCAGAGGAGGAGAUCAGAUAAGUGCUGCAGUGAAGCUCUGGAGCUCUGCUAAAUGGUUUAGAGAGCGAGCACAUGACGUCCGUAAUGAAACGAUCAGACUGAACAUGUUCGGUUUAUCUCCGUGUUCUCAUCUGAUCAACAGGUCACCGAAACGACCGCCAUGAACUCAGAGACAGACACACACUGGGUCUCUUCCUCUGGGUUUACUUUGAGUUUACUGGUGUUUAUUUGUUAAAUACUGUCGUACAUCUCGGGUCCGAUGAUGGUGGCUGGGCGUAAAGCGGUUGUUUUGGGGAGCGGAGGUGCUGACAGGAAGUGAGCGGAGGUGACCAGUGGGCGCGCACUGUAGCUGUUCCCACUCAACGUUCUUGAAGCCAAAAUACGCCGCUUACGGGCGCUUCCAUCUUGCGAUUUUGACGUCAUUUGGAGCCAGAGUCUGCGCAGUAGUGUCCGGGGGCAGGAGCCCUGGUAACACGCCCCGCCCAUUUAGCGUACUGCCCUGAUGACUUACGCAGCCCAGCUACGCCGAAAGCGCUCCGCCGGUCUACGAUGAAGAAAUGUACAAAGAAGAGAUAAAAGCAGCUGGUCUGACAUCUUCCAGAGGUGAAGUAGGUCAGGCUGGGGUCACAUAGUUUGAAGGAACCUCCUCCUUCUUUCACCUGUGCCAGAUGCCCUGCUCAUCCACUGUGGUAGAAAUGACCUUACACCAGCAGCUCUCCCAGAUGAAGAGUCCUCUCUGCCAUCACCCAGAGGAGCUGAUCAACGUCUGCACAACUGAAGAAGGUGGACAGAGUCUGGAGCUUUGUGACAGUGAACAGUGAGAAGGCUACCAUAGACAUCCUCAGAUAAAACACAGAGAUCCUGGUCAAUAUUCAAUUUAUUUUUCUUUCCAUGAUGUUGCCCUGUGUUUGAAAUGCCAGAUGCUGGAGGGUUGUGUUGGAUUUGCUUUUCCAUCAUCUUUUAACAGUCAAACAAUCAUCCAGGAUCUUUAUAUUUUAUUUGAUUUUUGUUUGGAUUUCUUUGUUAAAUUAUUUUUUAUACUUUCUCCUAUGUCCCAGCAGUUCGACCUGAUGGUCUCCCUUACUUAUUUUCCACAUGGUUCAUGAAGCCAGGGGUUGUUUAUUGAAGUUAUUUUUUCAUAAAAUGUUUAAAUAAACUUUUUUUAAA